GACAGAGGAUGCAAGCGUUAUCCGGAAUGAUUGGGCGUAAAGCGUCUGUAGGUGGCUUUUUAAGUCCGCCGUCAAAUCCCAGGGCUCAACCCUGGACAGGCGGUGGAAACUACCAAGCUGGAGUACGGUAGGGGCAGAGGGAAUUUCCGGUGGAGCGGUGAAAUGCGUAGAGAUCGGAAAGAACACCAACGGCGAAAGCACUCCGCUGGGCUGAUACUGACGCUGAGAAGCGAAAGCAUGGGGAGCGAACAGG
rnacentral:rRNA from 1 species